rnacentral:rRNA from 1 species
CCUACGGGAGGCAGCAGUGAGGAAUAUUGGUCAAUGGACGCAAGUCUGAACCAGCCAUGCCGCGUGCAGGAAGACGGCUCUAUGAGUUGUAAACUGCUUUUGUACGAGGGUAAACGCAGAUACGCGUAUCUGUCUGAAAGUAUCGUACGAAUAAGGAUCGGCUAACUCCGUGCCAGCAGCCGCGGGAAGACGGAGGAUUCAAGCGUUAUCCGGAUGUAUUGGGUUUAAAGGGUGCGUAGGCGGUCGGAUAAGUUAGAGGUGAAAGCCCGAGGCUCGACUUAGGAAUUGUCUAUGAUAUUGUUCGGCUAGAGAGUAGUAGCGGUAGGCGGAAUG